UACGUAGGUGACAAGCGUUGUCCGGAUUUACUGGGCGUAAAGAGCGCGCAGGCGGUCGUUCAAGUCGAGUGUGAAAGCCCCCCGGCUCAACUGGGGAGGGUCAUUCGAUACUGAUCGACUCGAAGGCAGGAGAGGGAAGUGGAAUUCCCGGUGUAGCGGUGGAAUGCGUAGAGAUCGGGAAGAACAUCAGUGGCGAAGGCGGCCUGCUGGGGCUGUUGCUGACGCUGAGGGCGCGACAGCGUGGGGGAGCAAACAGG
rnacentral:rRNA from 1 species